GGAGCGGCACGAGCGGGCUGCAAAGGGGCGGGAGCGGAGAACUUUCUAGAGAAGCGGUUAAACGGGUUGAGGCUCUUGGACUGAGGGACUCCAAGUGGCGAGCCUCCCAAGUCCGGGCCUGCCUCGUGGCCGGCCCUGCUCACCCAGGCCCACAGCGGAAUAGCUGGAGACAGGCAGUCAGAUGUGAAGUGGCAAAGAUCGGCCUCCCGUGAUUGUGCCACAGAUGCCCAUGGUUCCAGGCGUGGGCACCUGAGCAGUGUGGGAAAGAGAGGUCGAGGGAUUGAAAGUGUGGGCCCCGUAGGGACAGUUUCAGCCCAGGUGCACAGAUCGGACACAACUUUGCCCUCCCUGCAGCCUGGCAGGCCCACCGCAAAAAUGCCAUGAGCAGAUUUAUAAGAGCCAUAGACUUGUAAGUGGAGGUGAAUAGGAAGGAAGGUUUUCUCAACCUGCUCGCUGCUCCUAUGAGAUGCCUGUGGAGUUCUGAGUCUGUGUGGCUAAAACCAUGAAGUUCUGAUUACCGGAACAGUGCUGGCUUGAUGGAAGAUCUGUCUGGAGAGGUCCUGACUCUGCCCAGCAGUUUAGUACCCAGUUAUACAGCCUGAAUCAAAGACUAUUGCUCUUUUAAGUCUGAAACUUAGGAAGGCUUCUACAGGCUUCCUUCCACUUUCUGAUUGGAUUUGAGGCCCAUUCCACAGAAGGGAAUCCACAUUUAAUAUUGCAAACCUGGCCUGAAACUCACGGCUGAGGAGAUCAUAGACAUGAGUGGGGGAAGUUAUUUCUGAUGUUUGAAUGUGAUGUGCCCACCAAAUGCUUUCCAUAUGUUGUGGCCUUGCCCGUGGCCCCAUGCUGUCGUUUGCUCUUCUCUGAGAACCUUCUCCUUGCUCUGAGCAGCACUUAAUAAAGAGGCUCUUAUGUAACUA
rnacentral:lncRNA from 1 species